rnacentral:rRNA from 1 species
CCUACGGGUGGCAGCAGUGAGGAAUAUUGGUCAAUGGGCGCGAGCCUGAACCAGCCAAGUAGCGUGAAGGAUGACUGCCCUACGGGUUGUAAACUUCUUUUAUAAAGGAAUAAAGUGAGGCACGUGUGCCUUUUUGUAUGUACUUUAUGAAUAAGGAUCGGCUAACUCCGUGCCAGCAGCCGCGGUAAUACGGAGGAUCCGAGCGUUAUUCGGAUUUAUUGGGUUUAAAGGGCGCGUACAUGGGUUGUGAAGGCAGUUGUGAAAGUUUGCGGCUCAACCGGAAAAUUGCAAUUGAUACUGGCAGCCUUGAGGACAGUUGAGGUAGGCGGAAUUCGUGGUGUAGCGGUGAAAUGCUUAGAUAUCACGAAGAACUCCGAUUGCGAAGGCAGCUUACUAAACUGCCACUGACAUUGAUGCUCGAAAGUGUGGGUAUCAAACAGGAUUAGAUACCCGGGUAGUC